UACGGGGGGGGCAAGCGUUGUUCGGAAUUACUGGGCGUAAAGGGCUCGUAGGUGGCCAACUAAGUCAGACGUGAAAUCCCUCGGCUUAACCGGGGAACUGCGUCUGAUACUGGAUGGCUUGAGUUCGGGAGAGGGAUGCGGAAUUCCAGGUGUAGCGGUGAAAUGCGUAGAUAUCUGGAGGAACACCGGUGGCGAAGGCGGCAUCCUGAACCAACACUGACGCUGAGGAGCGAAAGCCAGGGGAGCAAACGGG
rnacentral:rRNA from 1 species